rnacentral:lncRNA from 1 species
GAAGGACAACAGGGUAGCAACUGACUUUCUUGAAGAUGGAUACGUGCCCAGAAACAGAAAACUCAGGUGGUCAGGCUUGGUGGCAAGCGCCUACACCCGGCGAGCCGUCUCGCAGACACUUACACUGGGGACAUUGACUUCAAGCUAAGCAUUUCCAACUCCUAGAACCAAAGCAGGCUGAAGCGAGAUGACCCAGGGGCCAGUCACCCAGGAGAAGGCUGCCUCCGGCUUCUGGCUGGCCGACUGCGCAUGUCCUCCCAGCACAGUGCCCGCUACAGUCGAGAAAGCCUCGGCCAAGCCCGCACCCGACAGGCUCGGGGCUACAAGGCUUGUGGGGUUUAACCUGGGUCGACCUCCAGGAAAAUCAAGAUCAGAGCGGAGACGUGCUGAGAGGUAGGGACAGUCUGGAGUCUUAGGAGGUGGGACUUGGGCGGAUGCACUCCUCUGGGCGCUCACGGUGCGUGGUGGAUACUCUGACCCGCUCCUCUUGGCUGACCACGCACGAGGGCAGUCAUCCUGGGGAAACUGAGGCCGCCAAAGUCAUAGGGCUCAUCCGAACAUCCUGCCCCAACCCGGCGCGGCAUCCAAGCACCUGCUCCAUCUGGGGACACCCGGAGGUCUAGGCCGCCACACAUAGCCCAGGGGGAGCGGUGAUAAAGAUGCGGAACUCGUCGCGCGAACGCAGAGGGGAGGGAGGAGGCGUUGAGAGUCUUGCGCCAUGUGAGCUGGAUCCGCGUGGGUCC